CACCCCACCCCCGAUUUUCCUUUCCUCUCUCUCUCUCUCUCUCCUUUUUGCGAGGCUGUGCUGUUUGCAGAAGCGCUGGGUCUCCAUCAUCGAGCCUGCAAAAGAAAAAAAGAGGAGAGGGUAGAGAGGAGGAGGAGGAGGAGGAAAGGAGGAAGGAGGAGGGGGCGCACGCGGAGGGGGGGGAUCGCAACCGAUCAGCCUGCCGGAGUGGGCCUGAGCGGGUCGCAGCCGUUGGGUAAGCGCUCCAGGGCCCCCCCUUUGCCCCCUCCCCCUGCUCUCCUCCGCCCCCCCCCUUUGGACCACAUUUCGCCCCCCCCCCCUCCCCGACACAAUGCAAGGCGUCUGUUAGCGCCCUGGCCUCCCUGGCGAUGUGAGCCCCCCAUUGCAGGGUGCUGGUGGUGGUGGGGGGCACCCAGGCGAGCGAGGCAUCGGUUGGGCCGGGGGGGCUAUGUGGUGUCCGCGACACCGGCAGAUCCGCUGAACCAUGAUGAAGACCGAACCCCACUCCGGUCCCGGGGGCAGCAACGCGGGUAACGGCGCCGGCUUAAGGAGCGCCUCGCCUCACCGGAACGCCUACGAAGCCGGCAUCCAGGGCUUGAAAGCCCCCAAGGAUGCCCUGGGCGACCCCGAGAGCGAGGAGGCCAAGCGAGCCGCCCGCAACAAGAAGUAUGGCUCCAACGUCCACCGGAUCAAGAACAUGUUCCUGCAGAUGGGCACGGCGCCGGGCGAGGGGGCGGUGGACCUGGCCAAGAUGAAGGAGAAGCCCGUCCGCCUGUCCUUGCCCCGGGCCAGCAGCCUCAACGAGAACGUGGACCACAGCGCCUUGCUCAAGCUGGGCACCAGCGUGUCCGAGCGGGUCAGCCGCUUCGACUCCAAGCCGGACAAGCCCCUGUCCAAGCUGCAGGAGACCCGCAAGAUCUUCGAGCGGAGCCUCCAGGAGAAGGAGACCACCAACAAGCUUCUCCUCAGGAAGGAGCGGGCCGGCUUCCAGGACCGCAAGCUGGACGUGGUGGUCCGCUUCAACGGCAGCACCGAGUCGCUGGACAAGCUGGACGCCGAGGCCGUGUCACCCACCGUCAGCCAGCUCAGCGCCGUCUUCGAGAAGGCCGACUUGAGGAACAACCUCCACAAGGCCCCCGGCAAAGUCGGGCCCCUCAACUCCAAGAUUGUCCCCAAGAGGUCCAGGGUUUUCCUCCAGGCUCCGGAAGGGGCCAAAGUGGAAGGACGGGGGACCGACGGGCCUGUCCUUCAGGUAAGGGGCAGGCUGCCCGAAGGUGACAAAAACCAGGCCAAGCUUCCUGCUGGCACCUCAGCAGUGGCCAGACCUGGGGACAAUAACAGCAGCCUCCGUCCCCAGAAGGUCCAAGAGGUCCGGAAGAUAAAGCCCGUGGAAGUGGAGGAGAGCGGGGAUUCGGAGCAGGAGUUUGAGGCGGCGGAAGUGGCGGUGGCGGCGGAGGAGCACGGCAAGGCCUCCAAGGGGUCCGACACCACCAGGGCCGAAGUGAUCCAGGCCGAGGUCACGGUGCACGCGGCCUUGGAAAAUGGCGGACAGGCUGGGGAGAGACACCUAGAGACUCCAGACCCGUUGACAGACGCUUACUGUGAGGGCAAGGCUGAGGGACCGGAGGAGAAUGACUUGGCCGAUGAGUCUAAGAAGGAGGACUUCUCUGAGGCCGACCUGGUGGACAUUAGUGCCUACAGCGGGCUGGGGGAGGACUCGGGAGGGAGCGGGCUGGAUGAAGACGAGGAUGCCGAUGGACUGUACGCGCCAGAAUCCAGUUGUGUGGAGAUUCCUGGGUUGUCGGAGGAGGAGGAAGCUGCCCCCAACCGCAAGAUCCACUUCAGCACGGCCCCCAUACAGGUUUUCAGCACUUAUUCCAAUGAGGAAUACGACCGGCGGAAUGAAGAUGUCGAUCCCAUGGCAGCCUCGGCAGAAUAUGAGCUUGAAAAGCGAGUGGAGCGGCUAGAUCUCUUUCCCGUUGAGCUUGAGAAAGAUUCCGAAGGACUUGGGAUCAGCAUCAUCGGGAUGGGGGCUGGGGCUGACAUGGGCCUCGAGAAACUUGGCAUCUUUGUCAAGACGGUGACGGAAGGCGGAGCGGCUCAUCGAGAUGGCAGAAUCCAGGUGAAUGAUCUUAUCGUUGAAGUGGAUGGCACCAGUUUGGUGGGCGUGACCCAAAGCUUUGCGGCCUCGGUGCUGAGGAACACCAAGGGUAGAGUCCGGUUUCUGAUCGGCAGGGAGAAGCCGGGAGAGCAAAGUGAGGUAGCGCAGCUGAUCCAGCAAACCCUGGAACAAGAACGGUGGCAACGGGAAAUGAUGGAGCAACGAUACACUCAAUACACCGAGGAGGAUGAGGAAACGGGUGAAUACGCGACUGAUGAAGACGAGGAGAUGAGUCCCAUGUUCCCCAGUAGCGAGAUGGCCAUCGAGGUCUUCGAGCUGGCUGAAAAUGAAGACAUGCUGUCUCCCGUCGAGAUGGAUCCAGAAAAACUUGUGCACAAAUUUAAGGAGCUCCAGAUCAAACAUGCUGUGACUGAAGCAGAAAUACAGCAGCUGAAAAGAAAGCUGCAGUCCAUCGAACAAGAGAAAUCCCGCUGGCGCCUCGAGAAAGCCCAGCUGGAGCAAAGCGUGGAAGAGAACAAGGAGCGCAUGGAGAAGCUGGAGGGCUACUGGAUGGAGGCCCAGAACCUGUGCCAGGCCGUGGACGAGCACUUGAAAGAGACCCAGGCUCAGUACCAGACCCUGGAGCGGAAGUACAGCAAAGCAAAGCGGCUGAUCAAGGAGUACCAGCAGAAGGAGAUCGAAUUCCUCAAGAAAGAGACAGCUCAACGGCGCAUCCAAGAGGAGUCAGAGCUGACCCACAAGGAGGAAGUCGACAAACUGCAAGAGAAGGUGGGCAUCAAGGACGGCGCUGGGGGCUUGCCUUGAACCCCGAGCAGCAGAGGAAAGGAAGGGAAGAAGGGAAGGAAGAAAGGAAGGAGAGGGCUUUGCCGUGACUGGAGAGGCCUUGAAUUGAGCUCAGGGACGCGAUGGGACUCAUUCUUUCCAUUUCCUGGCACGUGGGGAGGGGACGCACACGGGCGCGCUGAUCUUGUUGAACUCGUUUAGAGAUGGGCAUUCAUGGUCGAAGCUGGCAAGAUCCUGAGUCAAGUGCCAGAUCACUAGUUCAACUGGAGAUCCUGCAGCUGAAGUGGGGCGGGGGGGUGGGGGAGGGGAAGAGGGAAGAAAGAUUUGGACCCUUUGACAUCCUGUAUAGAGAACUGAAUCCCAUGCCUGUGUCAAAAUUGGAUCCUUCAACUGAACACUGAGAACUUAGCUAGAUCUUGCUGAAUUCAGUGGAUCCUUGUACAUUGGACCCACACGGUACCUUUCCCCAGACCCUGUGGUAAUGAGAAACAUACCAGAUCCUCACGCUUUUACACGCCAGAUCCCAUCACGCUCUCUUCGGGUUCUGCGGUUGAUUCACUGGGUUGAAGGAUGUUUUGCUUCCAGACUGGACACGUGCAUAGUGGAUCCUCUCGGGAUCCUGCAUUGGACACUUGGUCUCAUUUGAUCCCGCAACAGAUCUCAUGGUUAAAUGCUAACCAUCCCCUUGCUGAGCUUUAGCGGGUCCUUCUCACCUCCUGGAUCCUGUGUCAGAUCUCUGAACUGGAGGCGAAGCUGCAGACUUUGAAAAAUUCCAACCCGACUUAAAAACAAACAAACAAAAAAAAAGAGCAGAGAAAACAUAUAAACAAACCAGAGCAAUUAAUUCUUCUUCUUCUUACUACUACUACUACUAUUAUUAUUUGCAAGGGGCACCAAGUAGACAUUUGUCCCUUUUGUGCCCGCUGUCUAUUCUUACCCCGUCCUUCGCCUGAUGUCCUGUUUCCCCCCCUCCAGGGAAGCCAGACUCAACACAGCCCGAGGAUAGCCGGUCACCUUACUUUUGUGGGGAGGGUGCAGGAGAGCGAGGCCGUGAAAGGGCGAGUGGGUAGCCUUCAACUGGGGAGGGGGGCUGCCGAGGCACAACCCGGUCACCUCUCGAAGGGGGCGAAUUGUUGUUCAGUUUCCAUGUCCAGUGUGCGUCUUGUGUCAACUGGAUCGAAGGACCGCAGAGGGCGGGGAGGCGGCGAUCCUGUCUGUCCAGCCAUUCUUUGUCUCCCGUUCCAUCUGCCUGGUGAAAAACCUACACUGUAAGAUCAGGACUGAGACCUGUUGCCGUCCCUCUAGCCCCCCCCCCCCCCCUUCUGCACAUUGUCUUCUCGGCCCUCUGGUAGCACUGGUGGGAAGCCGCACAGCUCCAGGACUCUGCCAGUGAGAAGGGAGGCCAGCUCUUUCCGUUUUGUUUCCUGGAUCUUAAAUCUUUUGGGGGAAGGGGCGGGGGGGACAGGGGCGGGGCAGUUGUUUGGGCUUUGGGGUUGGACGAUCUUGCCUUUAAUUUUCCAUCCUUUUGGACAAUAUGGAAUCCAUUAUUCUCUAUGUUUCGUGCAAUGGUGGGAAAAAAAUGUCUGUGUAUUUUUUAUUUUAUUUUAUUUACGGAGGGGGUCAGGAGUAGAUUUUCGCUGGCUGCCGUCUUGGGGGACUGUGAAUAGGUUUGGACCUGGACCCCCUACUAGCGACCGAGUGGACUUUGGCACUGGGAAGAGAACCCUUUUUUUGGCCUUGUUUUGUUUUCUCCAUGUUGCAUUUUCAUUCAUGUCAUUUGAGAUGAUUUUCUGAGUGCUAAAAUCCAAGGGACUUAUGAACUGGAUGCUCCUGGGAGAACUGAGCCUUCAGACUGAAGAUCCCAAGACUAGCCACCAACUGAGACUUUUGGACCACCACAGAACAGAGCAGAGAAGAACCUCUCCAUUCCUUGGGAGGAGUGAAGAACCGCCUCUGCCUACAUUCGCGAGCCAGUUCCUACUCUCACGACUCUGCAAUUGAUUGAAGGAGACUUGCAAAGCUUCUCCACAGUCUGCGCACACACCGUAGGCCAGCGACGCCACUGUCAUCACUGGGGUGUUUUGAGGAGGGGGCUUUUCCCAAGCGGGCAACAGCCAAAUGAACAGGCCAGAUCCUCAGCCACAAAGUGGGUGAUGAAUCUUGGGUCAUUCAACCGUGUAAAAGCUGACACCCAACAUUCCUUCUUUCUGGCGCUCUGCCUUCAUCCCACAAGGAAGCAGGAGGGUGUGAUAUCAGCCGUCCCUUGCAUUACAUCACACAAACACACAUUCUAGGGACGGGUCCGUUUUGUUUUGGACCAGGAGGCUGCAACUGGCCGGCUAGUCCCUCAUUAAAGCAAAGCAGCGAUCUCAGAGUUUUCUGUUCAGAUUCACACUUUUUGACCUCAGAGUCUUUCUUUUUUUUCCAGAAGAGCAGCUGAGAGUAUUGGUGUCCAAAGCGCCGUGGCCUUUUAGUGACUACCUGGGUUGUUGUAAAAUGAGCUUUUGCAGGCGAUAGGGGCUGAAAGCCAGUCAGAAACACUGCCACUGGUUUCUAACGUGCCACCAUGUUUUUAGUCACGGCGUUCUCCAGUCAACCCCGCACCUGUUUAAGCAGACGGCAAAAUAUUAUGACUGAAAUUCCCCGUGCCUCGCAACAUUAGACAUCAUUGGUUAUCCUGGGCAAAAUUAUCCUGGGCCAAGUGACAAUAUGAUACACACACAGCACAGAGACUUGGGGGGGGGGGGGGCGGGGAAGCGAACGCUGAGUGGCGCUUCACAAAAUGGCAGCAAUAACACUUGGAAGCUGCUUUCCCCCCGUGGGCCUGAGGUGUCGAGGAAGGUGAGGUAGAAAUUGAAUAAAUACAUAAAAAUGGCUGGCAUGAGGGGUGCCCACAACAGUUCAAGGGGUCACCAAGAAUGUGCAGUGCCUGUUGUGGGAAUUCCACAUGACUCUGGCCAACAAUCGCCCCCUUUGUAGGGUUCAUGUUUGAAUCAGCCCUCAGAGAGUCAGUGAACAAGCUUACCCGCUACUUGAAACGUGGCCAAGUAAACCCCCAAGCUGAAAUGCAUUGGAGUUCUUUCUUUCCUUACUUAUUGUUCCUACCAGUUUCUAUCGCUGCCUUCCUGGGAAAUAUUUUACCUCAGGACUCAUUCGAGGGCACAGGGUUUCAGCGACCCCCUGGUUUUGGAAUUAGCAUGGGUAGCCACGACAGAACUGAUUUAAGAGAAUCUUUCUCCAGACUCAAGAGUGUUGAUAUUUAACAAUCUCUAUCAGCUGCUCUCUCACAGAUUAAAAGCAAAAUGAAACUGGAUGCUAUAAAAAUGGGUGCAAAUCCAUCCAAGAUUCCUCCCCCCACCCACCCAGGGGGAACCACCUGCUGCUUCAUUCACAUUCCCUUUAACAGUAUUCGCAAAGCGUCUCCCUCACAGAGUCUGAAAUGUACCUUGUGAAGUGAUUGUUGGAAAAGUCACUUUUUAUCUCUCAAAAACAGCCAAAAGGAUGCUUUUUUUAAAAAAACUGUAAAUUAUUUUUCCCCCCUAACAGUAUUGUGUCGGGAAAGGAUGGUUCUGGCGAGUUUUGUCUCUAAACUGGAAAAUGUGGAAAGUUCUCUUUCUCUCCCACAAGCUUUUCAUGUCAAGGGCGUAUCUCUGACUUCCACUCGAGAGGUGUGCCCCUGUUUUACCGUUUACUUCUUGUGGGGUGUACUGUCCAGAGGCAUGGAGAAGAAACCUUCCUUUGAAAUCUCACCUUUUUCUGCUACGAUUCCAACAGUAACUGGAUGUGAGUUUCAGGGCCCACGACAUGGAGAUGUUUUGUGGUCACUGGCUGGGUCAGUUUUGGAUGGCGGGCUAACACUUUGGCCCUGAUCUCCGUUCACAAUCCAGACAGGUCCAGAUCCCAUAAUGAGAAAACGGAGCUCCUCCGGAAGAGAAAAUCUGCCAUGUUUCCUUAAUAUGUAUCAUAACUGCCAGGUAUGCUUGUCUGUUUAUCCCCGCCCUGUGGAAUUUUCAUUUCCUCAUUGAGGAACUUGGAUUUCAGAUGUACAGAAACCAUCGCGUUUGUUUGUUUUUUUGUUCUGUUUUCUCCUUAUCCAGUUUGGCUGCUUUAUAACAGGGGGAAACUGUUAUCCAUACCCCCUGAAUGUCAAUGAGACGCGGGUGCCCUGCUCGAAGCAACUUCAUGAGGGGUAGAUCGCCUUUGUGUACAUUCUGGCCAGUUUUCUUGCAGAUUAAUCCAGGGGAGGUGGGGGAGGGACGACGAAAUGGGGAGAAUAUUUCCCUGGGCAUGCUUGUAUGAGUGGACCGAGGAUUAAGUGUUGUGAUUGCUCCACAGGAAACCUGGCUGUGGCAGUUUACUCUGGAUUAAACAAUCCAAAAUUAAAAGGUGAGAUGUUGUGUCAAAGACGACUGUUUAUUCUGUGGUUUGGGUCUGUGGAGAAGGAUUACUUUCGCACCCCCUUGACAUGGCCUUGGCCAAAUUGCGUGCCGUUCAGAAGACCAGGUCUAUUUGAAGCACUGCCCGCUUAGGGAAUUUGAAUUUUGUCCUUUGGUAUUCACGGGGGUUGCAAAAUGCUGAGCCCAUGAUUCAAAGACGAGGCUUUAUGUCACUCUCUGCCAUGUGGGCAACAUGCGGUUGGCGUCUCCUUCAGAACAUGUGGAGCUUCUGGAUCAUUCGUGGCUACAGAGGCAGGUUAAACUGUGGCCUACUGUCUGGGAGGUAGUGGGAAUGCAGUUUCCCCUCGAGGGACUCAGGAAUCGUCUUGAGGACAAAUAAGGUACUCUUCUCCCCUCCCCGUAAUCCAGGGUUGAGUGGAUAAAAAAAAAUAUUUUCACCCAGGAAGUUGGCAUAAGAGGUGUGCAGUGAACUGUAAAACAGUAAAUGGAUGCAAGUGGGAAGGGAAAAAAAUAUAUGAUGGGUCGAGAUGUAAUGUUCUGGAAAAUGAAUAAAAAUCAUCUUAAAUUUUAAUUUAAUCUCCUUUACACAGGUAUAAAUGUGUAUGUAUAUAAUAUAUAUAUAUGUAUGUAUGUAUGUACGUAUUGUUCAUGGUUUUGUAUGCCUGUUGUCCUUUCAUCCGGUCACACUAGAUAAACAGCAGGUCUUUGUUUCCACCCUGUCUCCGGUUU